rnacentral:tRNA from 1 species
GGUGGCGUGGCCGAGUGGUUAAAGGCGACAGACUGUAAAUCUGUUGGCGUAUGCCUACGGUGGUUCGAAUCCAUCCGCCACCA